UGAGGAAUAUUGGUCAAUGGGCGCAAGCCUGAACCAGCCAAGUAGCGUGAGGGAAGACUGCCCUAUGGGUUGUAAACCUCUUUUGUGCGGGGAUAAAGUGUGGGACGUGUCCCAUAUUGCAGGUACCGCACGAAUAAGGACCGGCUAAUUCCGUGCCAGCAGCCGCGGUAAUACGGAAGGUCCGGGCGUUAUCCGGAUUUAUUGGGUUUAAAGGGAGCGCAGGCCGUCCUUUAAGCGUGCUGUGAAAUGCCGCGGCUCAACCGUGGCACUGCAGCGCGAACUGGAGGACUUGAGUACGCACGAGGUAGGCGGAAUUCGUGGUGUAGCGAUGAAAUGCUUAGAUAUCACGAAGAACUCCGAUUGCGAAGGCAGCUUACCGGAGCGCAACUGACGCUGAGGCUCGAAAGCGCGGGUAUCGAACAGGAUUAGAUACCCUGGUAGUCCGCGCGGUAAACGAUGGAUGCCCGCCGUUGGGUUUUAGAAUUCAGCGGCCAAGCGAAAGCGUUAAGCAUCCCACCUGGGGAGUACGCCGGCAACGGUGAAACUCAAAGGAAUUGACGGGGGCCCGCACAAGCGGAGGAACAUGUGGUUUAAUUCGAUGAUACGCGAGGAACCUUACCCGGGCUUGAAUUGCAGGAGAACGAUCCAGAGAUGGUGAGGCCCUUCGGGGCUCCUGUGAAGGUGCUGCAUGGUUGUCGUCAGCUCGUGCCGUGAGGUGUCGGCUCAAGUGCCAUAACGAGCGCAACCCCUGUCCAUAGUUGCCAUCAGGUCGUGCUGGGCACUCUGUGGAGACUGCCGCCGUAAGGUGUGAGGAAGGUGGGGAUGACGUCAAAUCAGCACGGCCCUUACGUCCGGGGCUACACACGUGUUACAAUGGGGCAUACAGCGAGUUGGAUGUGCGCAAGUACGUCCGGAUCAAUAAAGUGCCUCUCAGUUCGGACUGGGGUCUGCAACCCGACCCCACGAAGCUGGAUUCGCUAGUAAUCGCGCAUCAGCCAUGGCGCGGUGAAUACGUUCCC
rnacentral:rRNA from 1 species